UAUAUUUAAGUGUCUAGCAUAAAAAAUUUUGAAUUUUUUGGGUUUAAUUUAUAUUAAAAAAUAUAA
rnacentral:tRNA from 1 species